ACCUUUAUAGCUCAGUGGUAGAGCAUGAGUUUUGUAAACUGAAGGUCCCUAGUUCUAUCCUGCGUGGAGGCA
rnacentral:tRNA from 1 species